rnacentral:tRNA from 1 species
CGGCGAGUAGCGCAGUCUGGUAGCGCAACUGGUUUGGGACCAGUAGGUCGGAGGUUCAAAUCCUCUCUCGCCGA